GGAAACGUAACCCCCAAACGUAGAGGGAUAAGCACCAGAAAUGGUGUCUAAUACCGCAUGUGGCCCACGGGCUAAAGCUUUAUGCGCUUUGGGAACGGCCUGCGCAAGAUUAGCUUGUUGGUGAGGUAAUGGCUCACCAAGGCGACGAUCUUUAGCUGGUCUGAGAGGAUGACCAGCCAGACUGGGACUGAGACACGGCCCAG
rnacentral:rRNA from 1 species